AACGCUAGCUACAGGCUUAACACAUGCAAGUCGAGGGGCAGCAUGAACUUAGCUUGCUAAGUUUGAUGGCGACCGGCGCACGGGUGAGUAACACGUAUCCAACCUGCCGAUGACUCGGGGAUAGCCUUUCGAAAGAAAGAUUAAUACCCGAUGGCAUAGUUCUUCCGCAUGGUGGAACUAUUAAAGAAUUUCGGUCAUCGAUGGGGAUGCGUUCCAUUAGGUUGUUGGCGGGGUAACGGCCCACCAAGCCUUCGAUGGAUAGGGGUUCUGAGAGGAAGGUCCCCCACAUUGGAACUGAGACACGGUCCAAACUCCUACGGGAGGCAGCAGUGAGGAAUAUUGGUCAAUGGACGAGAGUCUGAACCAGCCAAGUAGCGUGAAGGAUGACUGCCCUAUGGGUUGUAAACUUCUUUUAUAAAGGAAUAAAGUCGGGUAUGCAUACCCGUUUGCAUGUACUUUAUGAAUAAGGAUCGGCUAACUCCGUGCCAGCAGCCGCGGUAAUACGGAGGAUCCGAGCGUUAUCCGGAUUUAUUGGGUUUAAAGGGAGCGUAGAUGGAUGUUUAAGUCAGUUGUGAAAGUUUGCGGCCCAACCGUAAAAUUGCAGUUGAUACUGGAUAUCUUGAGUGCAGUUGAGGCAGGCGGAAUUCGUGGUGUAGCGGUGAAAUGCUUAGAUAUCACGAAGAACUCCGAUUG
rnacentral:rRNA from 1 species